UAGGGAAUAUUGGUCAAUGGGCGAGAGCCUGAACCAGCCAUGCCGCGUGCAGGAAGAAUGCCUUCUGGGUUGUAAACUGCUUUUCUCAAGGAACAAAAGGGUCAUGCGUGACCGAUUGCGUGUACUUGAGGAAUAAGCACCGGCUAACUCCGUGCCAGCAGCCGCGGUAAUACGGAGGGUGCAAGCGUUGUCCGGAUUUAUUGGGUUUAAAGGGUGCGUAGGCGGGCUAUUAAGUCAGUGGUGAAAUCCUCCGGCUCAACCGGAGAAUUGCCAUUGAUACUGGUAGUCUUGAGUACAGUUGAGGUAGGCGGAAUUUAUGGUGUAGCGGUGAAAUGCAUAGAUACCAUAAAGAACACCGAUAGUGAAGACAGCUUACUGUGCUGUAACUGACGCUGAGGCACGAAAGCGUGGGGAGCGAACA
rnacentral:rRNA from 1 species